AAAUCAAGUCCGCGGGGCAUGGAGGCUGCUGUCGCUGCAGCAGCUCAGCUUGCCCGGGGCGGGAACUCCCCCUUUCUCCUUUCGCCUCCCCAGCACCCACACCCUGUCUCCCCCUUAAUUCUUCCCUGGAUAAUAGCACCCUAACGACAACAGUCAUAAUAAUAGGGUUAGAACGACAGGGGAGGAAAACUCAACAGCCUAAAUAUCUCUGAAAACUGCAUCGCAAAAUGGAAGAAAGAGGGGGUCCCACUACUGUUUCAAAAGAGAGCCAUGGAAGUCAAAUGCUGAGGAUGGUGGCAUCAUAGGAUGAAUGGAGCUGGGUUCUUGAAACACUGCCUGGAGGAAAGACAGCAAAAAUGCCUCAUGAAUCCAACUGGACUGUUAGAGAACAGGCUUGAGCUGGCCUGCUGGAAGGAUGUGAAAGAUACAUGGAGCAGAGCCAAGUCAUCCAAGCCAAGGCCACCCUGAACCAGGAACUGAGAGCUAAUUCAGCAGCUGAGAGUGGAUGCCAGAACAAGCCCUGCCAAGAUCAGCCAAGACCAAUCCAGAUUUGCAGAACUUCCUAGUAGAAAUGUAAGCGCAUGAGAAAUAACAAAUGGUUGUUGUUUUAUGUCACUACGUUUUGGGAUGGUUCGUUACAUAGUAACAGCUAAUUGCUUCAGUUGCACAUUCCUUUCCUCAUC
rnacentral:lncRNA from 1 species